AUGUUUUCUGAAUGAAUUGGGCAGAAUGAAAAUAAUAAGCCCGGAGACUAAAGUACAGGUACAAAUUACAGGUGGAGAUAGGGGCUUAACUUAAAUCCUGCGCUCUGCAGAAAUUCUAUGUGAACUUUGUGGCGGGAAUAUGGAAAAGAAAACGGAAAUGUCUUGGCAAGAACUCCUGGAGAGAACAGAAGACAUUGACAAAGAAGAUUCUGAUGAGAAGUCGAUGAAUUAACAUUACAUACAGAUUACAGAUCUACAAGAAACCAGACUGUUAUCGUGUACAGGAUAGUACAUUCAAGACCACAGAACAGGACAGUAAAUGCAGGAUGAAAAAACAAAAUAGUACAUUCAGGACCAAAGAACAGGACAGUAAAUACAGGACGAAAAAACAGGACCAAAGAAUGUGACAAUAAAAUUCGAAAAAAGGCUAGAAUAUUGUAACAAUUAAUUAAUUUUUCAGGGAGAAAGGUUUUUACAAGCCUGUUCUCCAA